rnacentral:rRNA from 1 species
AAGGAAUAUUGGUCAAUGGACGCAAGUCUGAACCAGCCAUGCCGCGUGAAGGAUGAAGGUCCUCUGGAUUGUAAACUUCUUUUAUCUGGGACGAAAACGGGAUUUUUAUCUCAAUUGACGGUACCAGAGGAAUAAGCACCGGCUAACUCCGUGCCAGCAGCCGCGGUAAUACGGAGGGUGCGAGCGUUAUCCGGAUUUACUGGGUUUAAAGGGUGCGUAGGUGGGCUUAUAAGUCAGUGGUGAAAUCUCCGAGCUUAACUUGGAAACUGCCGUUGAUACUAUAGGUCUUGAAUUAUCUGGAGGUAAGCGGAAUAUGUCAUGUAGCGGUGAAAUGCUUAGAUAUAACAUAGAACACCAAUUGCGAAGGCAGCUUACUACAUAUAAAUUGACGCUGAGGCACGAAAGCGUGGGGAUCAAAC